AGAGUUUGAUCCUGGCUCAGGAUGAACGCUAGCGACAGGCUUAACACAUGCAAGUCGAGGGGCAGCAUGAUUUGUAGCAAUACAGAUUGAUGGCGACCGGCGCACGGGUGAGUAACGCGUAUGCAACUUACCUAUCAGAGGGGGAUAACCCGGCGAAAGUCGGACUAAUACCGCAUGAAGCAGGGGCCCCGCAUGGGGAUAUUUGCUAAAGAUUUAUCGCUGAUAGAUAGGCAUGCGUUCCAUUAGGCAGUUGGCGGGGUAACGGCCCACCAAACCGACGAUGGAUAGGGGUUCUGAGAGGAAGGUCCCCCACAUUGGUACUGAGACACGGACCAAACUCCUACGGGAGGCAGCAGUGAGGAAUAUUGGUCAAUGGCCGAGAGGCUGAACCAGCCAAGUCGCGUGAAGGAAGAAGGAUCUAUGGUUUGUAAACUUCUUUUAUAGGGGAAUAAAGUGGAGGACGUGUCCUUUUUUGUAUGUACCCUAUGAAUAAGCAUCGGCUAACUCCGUGCCAGCAGCCGCGGUAAUACGGAGGAUGCGAGCGUUAUCCGGAUUUAUUGGGUUUAAAGGGUGCGUAGGUGGUGAUUUAAGUCAGCGGUGAAAGUUUGUGGCUCAACCAUAAAAUUGCCGUUGAAACUGGGUUACUUGAGUGUGUUUGAGGUAGGCGGAAUGCGUGGUGUAGCGGUGAAAUGCAUAGAUAUCACGCAGAACUCCGAUUGCGAAGGCAGCUUACUAAACCAUAACUGACACUGAAGCACGAAAGCGUGGGGAUCAAACAGGAUUAGAUACCCUGGUAGUCCACGCAGUAAACGAUGAAUACUAACUG
rnacentral:rRNA from 1 species